UAGGGAAUCUUCGGCAAUGGACGGAAGUCUGACCGAGCAACGCCGCGUGAGUGAAGAAGGUUUUCGGAUCGUAAAGCUCUGUUGUUAGAGAAGAACGUUGGUAGGAGUGGAAAAUCUACCAAGUGACGGUAACUAACCAGAAAGGGACGGCUAACUACGUGCCAGCAGCCGCGGUAAUACGUAGGUCCCGAGCGUUGUCCGGAUUUAUUGGGCGUAAAGCGAGCGCAGGCGGUUCUUUAAGUCUGAAGUUAAAGGCAGUGGCUUAACCAUUGUACGCUUUGGAAACUGGAGGACUUGAGUGCAGAAGGGGAGAGUGGAAUUCCAUGUGUAGCGGUGAAAUGCGUAGAUAUAUGGAGGAACACCGGUGGCGAAAGCGGCUCUCUGGUCUGUAACUGACGCUGAGGCUCGAAAGCGUGGGGAGCAAACAGGAUUAGAUACCCUGGUAGUCCACGCCGUAAACGAUGAGUGCUAGGUGUUAGGGGCUUUCCGCGCCUUAGUGCUGCAGCUAACGCAUUAAGCACUCCGCCUGGGGAGUACGACCGCAAGGUUG
rnacentral:rRNA from 1 species